ACUCCUACGGGAGGCAGCAGUGGGGAAUAUUGGACAAUGGGGGGAACCCGUGAUCCAGCCAUGCCGCGUGUGUGAAGAAGGCCUUUGGUUGUAAAGCACUUUAAGCGAGGAGGAGGCUACCGAGAUUAAUACUCUUGGAUAGUGGACGUUACUCGCAGAAUAAGCACCGGCUAACUCUGUGCCAGCAGCCGCGGUAAUACAGAGGGUGCAAGCGUUAAUCGGAUUUACUGGGCGUAAAGCGCGCGUAGGUGGCCAAUUAAGUCAAAUGUGAAAUCCCCGAGCUUAACUUGGGAAUUGCAUUCGAUACUGGUUGGCUAGAGUAUGGGAGAGGAUGGUAGAAUUCCAGGUGUAGCGGUGAAAUGCGUAGAGAUCUGGAGGAAUACCGAUGGCGAAGGCAGCCAUCUGGCCUAAUACUGACACUGAGGUGCGAAAGCAUGGGGAGCAAACA
rnacentral:rRNA from 1 species